rnacentral:lncRNA from 11 species
CACAUUUUGAAAUACUUCAAGCUCCUUGGGGGCUUCAAUCAGAAUAGAAGGAAGGCUUCCCAAUUUCUUAUGCCAGAGUUGUAGACAUCUACAA